AAGCUCUCAGCUGUUCCUGCCUGUCAGACCAUGGAAUCUGACCCAGUGCAGGCUAGAAAACACUCCUCGAUAGAUAGUCACACAAUAUUCAAACUGUAAGUUAUUUUCUUCCAUUGGAAAAAAGUAAACCCAGGACACAACUGAUCCAGAACAUUCAUCUGAGAGCAUUAGCAUGACAUAUGAACGCAUUCUGUCCAUCCAAAGUUUGAAUGAGGUUGAGAAUCCAUGGAAAGGCAUUACUCUAAACCGUUGUAUAGUGUUGGCCAUUACCAUUAUGCUUGUGAGCUCAGUGGUAAAUGAAGUUAAUGAUGCUCUGAGUGGAUUUCUAGAGGAGAAGGAUCUUUCUCAAAUGUUGCUUGGAGGCUCUGGUCAACAGUCAGACGGCACUCAGCCUUCAGCCUCUAUUUGGCACAGCUUGCUUGGUUGGGGAUCAGAUGAUGGAAGAAAAGGAAAACCGAAGAGAAGAGGGGGAAUUUUGAGGAUCAGAAAUCGAGAAGUCUCUGGCACAGGGCUAUUAAAGGAAUAAUCGAUACAGUUCUGGAGAAUGUUACAGGGGGGUAAAUAGGUGGAAGGAGGUGGAAAUCACAACAAAAUAGGCAGACAUUUUCUGAAGGAAUAAUCAAAUAUUUCAUUAUGCACAAUUUUUAUUAUAUCAAAAUAUAAGCAUAUAUAGUUACAUUUUAUACUAUUGUAGGAAUAAACAAUUUACAGUACAAAGUAUAUUAUACUUCACAAUGAACUUAAAUGCAUGAUACACAAUCUUAUCUGAUCAUGCAAAAUAGUUUUUGAUAUUUAGAGAAAUCAAUAUAUAUUGUUUGCUGGUUCGCAUUUCUUUUGAUGUGGUACCACUGUAUAAUGAUCAGAUUUUAUUAAGAAUGUCCAAUUUGUGCACUGUGUUAUUGAAAAAAGCAAGUGAAGUCAGCAAAUUAUGAGCAGCAUAAGUGAAAAUAUUGAACUUGAUUAUGAUGUACUGUAUUCACAAUUAACUAAAUAAAUGCACUCAGUGAGCUAAAACAUG